rnacentral:tRNA from 1 species
GUCCCCAUCGUCUAGAGGCCCAGGACGUCGCCCUCUCACGGCGGCAACAGGGGUUCGAAUCCCCUUGGGGACG